CUAUGAAACCAUGUAACCAUAUUUCUUUUUCCUUGCUUUGGCUGUAAGGAAGCUCAGAACAAACUUCUCUAGUCACCUCAAACAUCCACUCAGAAUGUCGCAGCAAGCAUUCAGGAAGCUGAUCUCAUCCUUGUUUCCUAUUCUCUGGCUUUAUAAAAUCUGUCAGCUGCUUCAAAUCAUUUUUUGCAACAAGACAAGGCAUAAAUAAAUGAUCUUAUUUCCUGCUCGUAGCAGCCCAUUUCACAGAUGAUGAAACUGAGGGCCGGAGAGGGGCAUCGACUUGCGCCAGGACUGCAGUGGGUCAGCAGAAAACUUUAGACCUUCACUCAGCCGCUCCAUGUCUGGGGUGCUCCAUCCUUGCUCUGGCUGUUUCUAAAGAGGAAGCGUAUCUUGAUUUGCCAACUGUAUUCAUCCGAAUUGUUUCAGUUGCCUAUGACAGAAAUUCUGUUAAACAAGGGGAAUUUAUUGAUCCACAGAGAGGUCACAUCCCAUGGGCUGCAGGUAUGGUGUGAUCCAGAUACAUGGACAAUAUUGGAAGGCCACUUCCCCUACACUUAGCUUUGCUUCUCUCUGUAUGUCUCCACUGGAUAGCAUCAUCCUUUUCUGCUUUAGACGAACCCCACUCCAGGUGAUGUAAAUAUGACCCCACAGCCCCAAGACAACUUGAAGUGGGAGAGCCUCCCCUCUAGCCCCAGCAGAAAGAUUCUAAGUGGCCCCAGUUCUUUUCCAACUGGAAAGCUCUCCUCUUGUAGCCAGAAUGACAGGCAUCUUGAUUGACAGCUCCAUCCAGACUCCUGGAAUCAAGGAGGAGUUCCCGGGAGACAGAGAAAAGGAGCAAAGAAAGUGUGAUGGGCAAACUCUGCGCUGACUAAUGCCUGUUUUCCCAGAGAAACUGAGAACUCCCCAGCUGGGGAGGGGAGAUGCUCACCUUAAGAACAAAUCAGCCAACAAAGCCCUUUAGUCUUUCUUUAAUGGAAACUCACUUUCCCCUCCUGCUCUUGAGUUCUCAGUGGCUUUCAUGGUAUUCUACCCUCAUCACUUUCAAUCAAGGAAUCUCUCAGUGGGGUCCUGCCUCCACGCACUGGCUUUUGCUGUUUGCACCUCCCGAAUGCCCCCUUCCUACCCUCUAACCAAAUCCUAGCACUCCUUUUCUAGAGAUCCUUGCUUGAAGAGCUCAAGCCAGGUGUCUCCCUCUUCUGAACAGCCCAUCCCAUCCAAAGAUAUAUUUUUCAGCCAUGACUCUGUGCUUGGCUCAGUGGGGGACGAUAAAGACGUGCAAUGCAAGAAGGUGAAUCUAUGUGACCAGAGAUGCCAUUUCAGAAGGGUGACUGAAUGUUUCCGAAGGGCUAUAUAGUUCAUGCUGGAGAAAGCCAACAACACACCUUUCACCGUCUCCAGGGUUGUUUCAGAGACUAAGUGAGAAGAGAAAUGGGAAGAGAAGACAGUGAAUAUGUGCUGGAAACUUUCUUCUGUGUACGAUCUUGGUUUAUGUGUGCGCUCUCCCCAAGUCUCCGCUACGUAACUCUUACUUUACAGACAAGGGAACUGGUGCUCAGAGAGGUGAAGUGGCUCACCCCAGAUCACACAGCCAGUGAGGGACUCAGAGAACUUGGAUUUGAAUUGUCCAACUGUCCGGUCCUCUUCCCGCCCAUUUCCUAAUAAACUCCCCCCAUUAUUAAGGGAUGACUCACACUACAGAAACGUCUCCUAAUUAAAUUUGAAAAUAGGAAAAGCAUUUGGAAUGUCCUCUGAGGAGGCUAGCUUUAGCAGAAUUAUUUCCAUACCAAGAAUUUGUUCCCCAGCUAUGCAGCAGCUGGAUUUUUUUGUAUUCCUUGAUGAGCGGGAUGUCAGAAGCAUAGAAGAUGCCCAGUUUCCACCCUUCACUUUUUCCCUAAGCUGCCCUUUGUACAACAGGGACGUAGAAAUCAAUUGAUCCAUCAACAAAGAAACCUACCAAUGAGUUCCCACUUCUACCAGAUAUGCUCAUUUGGGGGAGUUAAUGAGCCAGUGUGGACACAGCAAAGUCCUAGGCUCUAUUCUCCCAUACACAGUGACAAACAGUGGGGAAAAUCGGUUUGUUUUACAGCCAACAGUCAGAGAACACAUCUGCUGUCAAGCUCCAAGUCAAGUGACUAAAAUUGUGGAGGAAAAUAUGGACUCUUUCCCUUUCCUACCACGCAGAGUUGUAGUAAAAUAAGCUGAGUGUUAUGAUGCUGGCUUCCUCCUCCCUACGCUGUGUGCCCUGCAGGACAGACCUUCAUGGAGCCUCUUGUUUCCCAGCAGGAGAAUGGUGGGUUGUACCAGAUGAUUCUAAAGUUUGCCUCCAGAACUGGCCAUGAAUCUACAAGUGUCUCUUAUGCUGAGCCCAGCACCUAGCAGGGACUCAAACAAGGAAUUUUUGGAAAGACUUAAUUGAGUAGAGUGAAAAGGUAGCAUAUGGGUGAAUCUGGUGCCACCUCCUGGCCAUGUGACCUCCAGCACGCUCCUGACCUCUCUAAGCCUCGACUUCCUCUUCUGUACAAUGGAUUCAGUGAUGCCGGCUUUAGCAAGCCAUGCAGAUGGAACAGGUUAAGGGAUGUGAACAGGGCUUAGGAAUGGCUGACCCCUCCCCUUCUUUGCCCAGUGAAGGACAGACUUGCCUCCUGUGGAAGCCGAUGUACAGAGCUCAGCCUCCUAGGCCCCCAUCUCUGGCACCAACUUCAAUGGCAGUUGUGAAAGACUCUGACUGGGUGGGCUGGUUGAAGGAGGGAUCAGAAAGAACCAAUGUCCCCAGCUCCGUGGUCCCUUCCCUGGCAGAUGAGGAAUCAUUUUACUAUUGGGGAGAUUCCACAGGCUAACUCACCUGAAACAAAAUUCAUUUAAAGGCAUCCUCCACUUUUUUUUUUUUUCCUGCUUUUUAAAAGGGCUGCACCCACAGCAUAUGGAGGCUCCCAGGCUAGGGGUCAAUUCAGAGCUACAACUAGAGCCACAGCCACAGCCACAGCAAUGCCAGAUCCAAGCCACACCUGUGACCUACACCACAGCUCAGGGCAAUGCCGUAUCCCCGACCCACUGAGCAAGGCCAGGGAUUGAACCUGCAUUCUCAUGGAUACUAGUCAGGUUCGUUUCUGCUGUGCCACAAUGGGAACUCCCAUCCUCAAAAUUUUCAAUUGCACCCCCCAAAAGUCAAAAAAAGACAGAAAAUAGCAUUCAACAUUUGCUUUGCAGUGAACCCCUAUAGAGGUAGUGCCCCCACCCCCCGCCCCACCCCGCUGCCCCCAGGCAGUGAGAGUGGCCCCACCCAGCUCCUUCCCUCAGAAUGACAAUAGCCUCUCAGCAUCAGGGCUCCAGAGCUCUGACCUGUGUCUGUGAGCAUCUGUAUUUUAUCUCCAUUUAUUCUGUGCAUCCGUUAGCAAGAUGUGUCCUAAGGGAACUGUUCCUUUACACCAUUCUGGCCGACAAAAGUUUUCCCAGGAACCCUCUACUCUCAGGUAUCGGGGCAAACCUGUGUUCGUGGUGACCAACGAGGGCUGACAGCAUCUAGUCCAGGCUGGCCUCUUCAUCUCCUAUGUCGCCCUCCCUCAUCUGCUCCAUCCACACCAGCCUCCCUGCGGAUCCUCAGGCCCAUUAAGCUCGUCCCCAUUCACACAUCUGCACCGUUGUCAGAAGGGCCCACUUCCUCGCCUCCUUCAGGCUUCCGCUCACGUGUCCCCUUGCCAGAGAGGACGUCCCCAACCACCGUUGGGCCUAAGUUACUCCCAACCUUGCUUCCCUGCUUCACUUGUCUUUGGAGCUUAUGCCUCACGUACAGGGUGUAUUUCUUUGUUUGUAGUCUGGCUCCCACAACGAGAUCGUGAGCUCCAAGAAGGCAGGACUUUGUCUAGCUCAAAGUCAACCUCGAACAGUGGUGAUGGUAGGCUCUCAGGGACUGUGGAAUCAGUGGCUGGGUGGACAGGAGGGUGGGAGUGUAGGAAGGUAGGUGAUUGUAGGUUGGUGGAUGGGUCGAUGAAAGGGAGGGUGGUUGGGAGGAUGGGCUGACUGGGUGUUGGGUGGACAGGUCAAAGGCUGGAUGAGAGGAGAGGAGGAUGAGCUGAUGAUUCAAUGGGUGGAGUGCAAAGAGCACUGGGUUUGGAAUUGCACAGACUUGGGGUUUUGUCCCAGUCCUCCCGCCACUCCCUGUGUUACCUUAGCUGAGUUAUUCAUGCUCUCUGACCUUCUAUUUCCAUAUCUACAAAUAUAUGAAACAAAUUCUGCCUCAUGGGGUCAUCCUUUGAACCUCUCGCUUUUAAGAGGAUGGUCAGAGGAGAGCUGAGGAUAGAUUGGGUACAUAAAAUCGAGGAAUAUUAGCAGAAAGUAUUGUCUCUUCUGACUUCAUUUCCAGGUGGGAGACCAGAUGGCCCAAGAUAAGACUGAACUACAGGGCUGAAACGAGUAGAGAUGGAUGGCAAAAAUACUGGGAAGGAAGGAUGGGUCGGACAAGUGACUCCCUUGAUAAAAAGGGUCUGUAGAGAGAGUGGGACCAUGUUCCCAGCAAAAAGAGCUCUAGAUCAAAUCAAAAUGGGGAGUUCCCACCGUGACUCGGUGGUUAACGAACCGGACUAGGAUCCACGAGGAUGAGGGUUUGAUCCCUGGCCUCACUCAGUGGGUUAAGGAUCCGUUGUUGCUGCGAGCUGUGGUGUAGGUCACAGACGUAGCUUGGAUCCCACAUUGCUGUGGCUGUGGCGUAGGCUGGCAGCUACAGCUCCUAGCUUGGGAACCUCCAUAUGCCACGGGCGUGGCUCUAAAAAGACAAAGGAAAAAAAAUGAUCCUGGGCCCCCCAGUCACAAAUUCUCCUCUGGAACUCUAUGCUGAUUCAGAGAGGCAGCCCCGUAGUUAGGAACACGGAGCUAGGACUCGAUCUCAGGUCUUGGCAGCCAGAGAGACCUGAGAUUGAGUCCUAGCUCUGUUCCUAACUUGGGCAACUGCUUCUGCUCUCUGAACUCUGGUUUCCUCAUCUGAAAAAUGUAGAUAAUGAUCCCUUUUGUCCCUUAAGGAGGUUGUGGGGAUUAAAUGAGACUGUGUGUAACGUGCUGAGCAUGGAAUCCCUGCUUCCCUGGGGAGAUAAGCUGCCAUGUUGUGAGGAAACUCAAACAGCCCCAUGGAAGGGCCCACGUGGAGGGAGACAGAUUCCUCCACCGUCAGCCAGUGUCAGCUUGCUGGAUGUUGUGAGUGAACUCCCUG
rnacentral:lncRNA from 1 species